GACGAACGCUGGCGGCGUGCUUAACACAUGCAAGUCGAACGGAAAGGCCCUGCUUGCCGGGUACUCGAGUGGCGAACGGGUGAGUAACACGUGGGUGAUCUGCCCUGCACUUCGGGAUAAGCCUGGGAAACUGGGUCUAAUACCGGAUAGGAGCCAUUUUUAGUGUGAUGGUUGGAAAGUUUUUUCGGUGUAGGAUGAGCUCGCGGCCUAUCAGCUUGUUGGUGGGGUAAUGGCCUACCAAGGCGGCGACGGGUAGCCGGCCUGAGAGGGUGGACGGCCACAUUGGGACUGAGAUACGGCCCAGACUCCUACGGGAGGCAGCAGUGGGGAAGAUUGCACAAGGGGCGCAAGCCUGAUGCAGCGACGCCGCGUGGGGGAUGACGGCCUUCGGGUUGUAAACUCCUUUCGCUAGGGACGAAGCUUUUUGUGACGGUACCUAGAUAAGAAGCACCGGCUAACUACGUG
rnacentral:rRNA from 1 species